rnacentral:lncRNA from 10 species
CUGGGACAGGGAGAGGGGAGGGGCAGAGAAGACCUAGCUCAGGAAGUGGGGAAGCAGUGCACCUAACUGCACUCACAUUCCAUCACCCAGGACUCUGCACCUGGGCCACGCCUAACUGCAGGAGAGCCUGAAGGGGAAAUAAUUUCAUUAUCAGUUCAAAGGCAGUUCCAAACUUAUGAAGGUAUUCCUCUCUUAAGGCAGUUGUUAAGGAUUUGGAAAGCACUUUUAUUCCUAGCUCCACUGUAGUGCUGAGGUCUUUACGCCAGCACACAGGACCCUAUAAACCCAUAAGGAUCACACCUGAGGCCAUCUCUGUCUUUGGCCCAAAUCACGCUCUCUUCUUCUGCAUAGGCACAUCCCGACCUGCAGGACUCCCCCAGGUCACCAAGUCACCACCAGCAUCUGGACCUUCGAAUCAGCAGCAUUGAAACAAGUCAUGACAAAAGAACUCCAGGAAACUUGAAUGCAGCGCUUUCUUUAAGCCCUAAACACCUGGGACAGUCUUCUGUACAUCAUAGGCGGUAGGCAUGAUCCCUGUGCACCUUCUGAGCACAAUCUGAGCACUUGGAGAGAAGAGGCAAAAGGGAUGUCAAAAAUAAUUUUAAAAACAAGCCAAGGAUCUACAGUGUGGACUUCCAAAUCCCCUUGGCAACGGCAGCUAAGAAGAGCUCUGUAGUGGAUGUAAAUAAUUUAGUCUCCAAGUGGACUGAGUUUUUGACUUAAGUUUGAAAAAAAUGUCUGUGAAUCACUCUGAAACUACACAGGGAGAGCAAAAGUUCCCUAUGGAUCUUUUUGAAGGAUGUUUUUCAAAGGCAUUCAGUGUGGUUACAAGUUUACAGAGAGGUCUGCUUCAGAAGAGAAAGUCGCGGGAGUCUCUAUGUCUAAAGUCAUUUCUAAUGAAGAUAUAUGAUUCCUGCAGCCGGUUACUCUCAAUGAGAGACUUUGCAGUGCCCUAUGACAUACCCUGGGUGAGCUCAGACAUAAAUGCAGCAAAAAAGACAAAGUAGCAGCCAGCUGCCUGAUGUUUUCUGCUAAUUCAACUGGGAUCCUGCAUUACUGGGAAGAAGAGAACAGGGAAGAGGUGACUUUCUCGGUGUGUCCUGUGGGGUGACACUGUCUUGCUGCACACAGAUGCCAGUCUGGACCAUGUGGCUGGAGCACUUCCCCCCUGGCAUCCCUCCAACCCAGUUCUCUCUCGGUACUGGGUCAUCACACUUCCUUUUGAAUAGCCCCAGGUGAAUAUCUGUUAUUUACCGUCCACCUUGGAUAUGUCUCUCCUGAGAUUUUUAAGCAAAGUCUUACAGUUAAUAUUGUUAUUACCUAAUCAGCACUUCCCAGGACUUAUUCUUACUAAAAGUUUUAUCAACAAGACAGAGUGUCAAGGCUAUAUCUAAUAAUGCCUGCCUGUUCAGUUUUGGUAACUGUAUUAGUCCAUUCACACACCGCUAUGAAGAAAUACCCAAGACUGGGUCAUUUAUAAAGGAAAGAGGUUUAAUUGAAUCACAGUUCCACAUUGCUGUGGAGCCCUCAGGAAACUUACAAUCAUGGUAGAAAGCAAAGGAGAAGUAGGUACAUUCUUCACAGGCAGAAGGAUGGAGUAAGUGCAAGCAGGGGAAAUGACAGACGCUUAUAAAAACCAUCAGAUCCUGUGAGACUCACUCACUAUCACGAGAACAGCAUGAGGGAAACGACCUCCAGGAUCCAGUUACCUCCACCUGGUCCCACCCUUGACACAUGGGGAUUAUGGCGAUCACAAUUCAAAGUGAAAUUUGGGUGGGGAUGCAGAGCCAAACCAUAUCAGUAACUGAAUGUCAACGUCACUUGCAGCAAUUGAUUGACAACGUGAUGGGCAAUGCAGCUUGAUUCUACUUUCAAUGAGACCUCAAUCAUUUUGUAAUAAUUAACACUUACACUAGACAGAGGAUACUGGCUGGAGGAGGGUCUGGAGAUCACUGAAUAAGUCAUAAUUAUCAGUAGUUAACACUUGGGGCUGUUUACUAUAUGUCUGGCAUUGUGUGAGCACUCUCUCUUACAUGAUUCUCACUUAACAGAUGAAGAAACAUUACCUCUCUUUCUCUCAAACUUGCUAGUACCACACUCAAAUCCAAAGCCCACAGUCAACAUUCAAACCCAAAGCUUACACUCAACACUCCUGCACUGCCUGGACCUUUCUGGAAGGGUUUCUGUUGUGCUGUAGAAGACGGUUUACAAAGCAUUGCUUUAGAGAGCAGGGAAUUUGAAGUUUGGGUGGGUCUUUGCUGUUUAAGUUUCCAAAAAUUCCUGAAAGAUGAAGCAGGCAAUCUGAAUUUUAACUUGACUUAGCCAUUAAUCAUUAAGAUCAUCUUAGGAAACCCACCAGUACAUCAACAAACACAAUAGGAGUAGAUUAUUGUGCCUUUAUUGUGUUUGUUGUGCCCUUCUUGUGAGUGCAGAGCCCUCAUGAAUGAGAUAGGGCCCUUAUUAAAGGGACUCCAGAGAGCUCACUUGCCCCUUCACCAUGCCAGGACACAACUAGAAGGUUCUGACUCUGAACCACAGAGUGGGCCCAACAGGGUUACGGCUUGAGUGUGUCCUGUGUCCUCCAGCUCUCCGCAAAGCAUUGGGAAAUCUAGGGUAGAACAGGACAUCACGAUACAGUCACAAAAUUCACACAUGAAAUCAUUACAAAACGCUUUUAUGGAGGUGACCAUGAGCUCAGGGUUCAUGAAGCACUCAGAGUAGGAUUCAUGUUGCAGACAGGACCAGAAAGGGAUCUGAAGGGUGGGAGGACUCAGACGAGUGGGGACAAAGAAAAGUGAGCUUUCUGGGCAGCGUGCAUGGCCAGGGUGCAGUUGAACAAGGCAUAGGUGGGUGUGCUGGGAAGACAGUGUCAUUGCACCUGAGUGUGGGUGGUUACCUGCGAGGCAGGGAGGGGCUCCCACAGGCGGGAGGGUUUGGACUUGAGAGUGACAUUGUGGAACUCACCCCGCUCCUCCCCUCAGCCUGCUGGGUGCACUAAACCUCUUAGGAGUUCCUGAACUCUUCUUGCCUGUUGCUCUUACGCCUCUUCCUGAACGAGGACUGUUAGGUACCUUGCUAAUUUUCGAGUUAUUUCUGUGUGAGUUAUUAUUAUGAUGCCAAUUCAUUCUCAGGUGCACCAAAGAUAUCAUCAAAAUGAUUAAGUCCAGAUGUCACAGGAUACCAUCUUUAAGGAAGGGUUUUUUAAAAGGCAUGGGAGCUUCCUUCCUGUCUGCAUCCUUGACUUCGCUGCCACGGCAUUCAUCAUGUUCACUCCCUUCUCCUCAUUUCCUUUCUUGCCCUCUCUAUUCUCUGGCUCUCCUCCUACACAUUCCAUUUUGUCUUCUAUUGUGAGUAAAAGAUAAAACCUGAGUGACUCCCCCAGUGCCCAGCAUGUCUCAUCUCUCAAAAAGAAUGUCCUUGCUGCUCCACCCACACUGAUCUUCCUCAUCUCUGAGAUCCAAAAGCACCGGCCCUGGGUCAUAACAGCAGCAGCAGCAGCACAGCAGGGGCCACUCUGUGAGCAAGGGCCAUGUGCAGGGCACCAGGCAGAGGGGCCGGGUGACAGGCAGGUGGACGACACAGGAGGCAGCCAGCACCAUUGUCCAGCCUCCUCUCUGGGGGCCUAGCAGCCAGUGGUCUUCAUGCUUCAUGGGGAAGGAAAUCACAUGGGUUAUUAAAUGCCCUCCAAAAACUGCUGUGUGGUCAGAUCCUCCCUGGUUUCAUCUCUAUACUGACAGCAGAUGUGUCUGCCUUCUGCAAGCAGACUUCCAUGGUAAAAUCUCUUCCCUACUUAACACUCAGUCCAGGCUGGGCUUCCUCAGAUCCAGCUGCCUGCAGUUUUCAUUAAGCAGCGGACCUUCCAAGUCAUUCCUGUUGUAGCCCAAAGAUAGGAGGAAGUGGGCUUCUCCCAGGAAGUCCCCUCGGACUUCCAUUCCAAGCUUAGAAUGAGAGUCUCUUCAAUGGGACUCAGCCCUGUGAGGGCUCUCGAAGACAAGAGGCUUCAUUGAGUCAGAUGGAACCAACCUUCUUGCCUUGGUAGCUUUUCUCUUGGGAGGUCCUUUUCUUCCAACAGUCCUUUCCGAGUCUACUUCACCUCAUCAGGGGAGAAUUCCUCAAUGUCCCUGAUCUCUGGGUGACUGUCUUAGUCCAUCUGGGUGGCUGUAACAAAAUGCCAUAGACUGGUGGCUUAUGAACAACAGAAAUGUCUUUCUCACAGUUCUGGAGGCAGGAAGUCUGAGAUCGAGAUGCUACAGAUUUGGUGUCUGGGGAGGGCCCACUCUGUGGUUCAGAGUCAGCACCCUCUCCCUGUGUCCUCACAUGGCGGAAGGGCCAAGUGAGCUCUCUGGGGUCCGUUUAAUCAGGGCCCUAUCUCAUUCAUGAGGGCUCUGCACUCACAACCUAAUCCCCUCCCAAAAGGCCCCACCUCCUAAAACCCUCACCUUGGCGGUUAGGAUUUCAACAUACAAAUUUGGGGUCUGGGGGAGGGACAAACGUUCAGACCAUAGCAGCGACCCAUGGUUUAGAGACAAGAAGUUCUUUGUCAUUCCCCUGUUGUUUCUCUCUACAGCCGGCCGAACUUCACCAAGUGGUUCAUCGUGCCCAGCACCUGGCUGAGGCCUUGGGAAGGUUUACAAAAUGCUGGAAAAUCACAUAUGUAAGCUGGAGGGUUAGGGUUAGCAGUCAUCUACUCCAGGCCGUCCAUACAUAGAUAUGAAUCCUGCUUCCAGGCUGCCGAGAUGACCUGUCCCAGCUUACACAGGCUCCGAGUGACGCAGCCAAGGAAGCCCGCCAUGGCAUGACAGAGACUUGGGGGCUGCAUUAACAUUCUCCAACAGAGAUCUUCAUCGAGAGGCACUGAGCACGCAGACACAGAGAGGGAAAAUCAUCCCACAAAGAUCAUCAUUGGGCUAAACGAAACUACCAGCCAACAGCAAAGCAGAAUCACUGGGUGAAUAAGUAACAAACUGAUACUAAUCAAAUGUGAAAAACUUAUGCCUGAGGGCUAAGCGGGACCUAGGUGAAUGCCUGAGCUCUCAGAUAUGAGAACAGGGGGCUACAAAUGGGAAACAUGUAACUCACGGAGCCUGCGGAUGACAAGCUGGUAAACUCAUUAAACCUGGGUCUUCACAGAGCAGUGUGGGAAGGUCCAGGCACUCACAGCUGUAAAGAAAUCACACACCGAGGACUGUUGUGGGGUGGGGGGAGGUGGGA